rnacentral:lncRNA from 1 species
AUUAACUAAGAAAAGGGGAUUUGUUAAAGUGAGACCCAUUCAAAAUUGGCAUGUGGUACCAAGGCAGGCUAUUCUGGGACAACCCCAAAUAGAUUUAAAUCAGAAAACAUUUCAUAAUGAAAAGAUGGAAGCAGUUGUAGCAUCAAAAAAGAAACCUUUCUUUUCUUCUGAAUAAUCUUUGCAGCUCUUGUUUUUAGGCCUAUGAAGUUAUUAGUUGCACAUUUUCACCUAAAUCAUUUGGUUCUCUUUUCUUGCCUUCAAGCUGUAAAGAAGACUAACUAGCUGUGUUGGCAUCAUAAAUGUCUUUUCCUGAUUAAUCUGAGAAGGCCAGAAUUAAGACAAACAAACACACAUGAGUUUCACUCUUGGUUUGAUUAUGGAAAUACGAGGGCUCCUAUUUCUGAAAAUUUGGAUACUUGGGUUUCCAUGAUAAUGGCUUACUACACAUCUUUAGAGAGUUAAUAAUGCCAAAGUCACAUAGUCAGGACCGCCUCUUCUUGUAAUUGCAAUGGCCAUCUGAAUGGCUUUGACAUGGCUCUCGUUCAGGGGAGGCCAUAGCUUCCUUAGCCAGCCUGCACUUGGCUUCCUCAUGCACACUGCCCUCACAACCCCAGUCCUCAGAGCCAGUCACAGGUGCUUUCUUUACUCACAUAGUAAAGAGGCAACCUAGGGAAAUCAAGAAAGGCAGGGGACUGAGAGCCAGGAGCAAAGGGCUCAAGUUCUAGCCAGGCACCAGGGGACUCUGACAUGAGCACAUCAAUUUUUAUUUCUUCAUUUGCAGUCUCAGUUCACUUGUCUGUGAAAAUUGGAGACUUGACUACAUGAUUUCCAACAGCUUUUAAAGUGGAAAUUUUCUUCAAUCCACUGAUUUCCAGUUAGUUUAUAUUGGCAGAGAAGAGCCUGCCUCUCCUUUCUGUCCCUUUCAUUAUUGUAGAACGGACUUAACCUCAGAGAGGAAUUGCAGAGGCAGCAAAAAAAGAAGGUGGAGGGUCUGCUAGGGGGUUGCUAGGUGUGCUAGGGAUGACUGGACAUUUAGACAGGAAGUCAAUAUGAAUUUCCACCAUUGCCACAGCUCAGAAGGUGGAGGGCUGUUUGGCUUUUUUAGGGCCAUGCCUCUUGCUACCAUUUGGUGGCUUAUUUUCC